rnacentral:rRNA from 1 species
CAGGGUGACAGGUGGUGCAUGGUUGUCGUCAGCUCGUGUCGUGAGAUGUUGGGUUAAGUCCCGCAACGAGCGCAACCCUCGCCUCUAGUUGCCAGCAUUCGGUUGGGCACUCUAGAGGGACUGCCGGCGACAAGUCGGAGGAAGGUGGGGAUGACGUCAAAUCAUCAUGCCCCUUAUGACCUGGGCUACACACGUGCUACAAUGGGCGGUACAAAGGGCUGCGAACCCGCGAGGGGGAGCGAAUCCCAAAAAGCCGCUCUCAGUUCGGAUUGCAGGCUGCAACUCGCCUGCAUGAAGCCGGAAUCGCUAGUAAUCGCGGAUCAGCAUGCCGCGGUGAAUACGUUCCCGGGCCUU